GCAGGAUGAAAAAUGGAGUUGAGGAGGGGUCUGGGCUGGACUCCCUUAAUUCCAGAACACAGGGAGAAGUCAAUGUCUUUAGUGCAUGAAAGAAGUUCUAGAAUGUUCUAUGUGCUACCUUUUCAGCCCCUGCACCAACAGGGUUGAAGUUCUCACCAUGACAAAGAGAAGGAAGCUGGUUUAAUGGACACCUUGGGCAGAAAACGAGGAGGCCUCCCCACCUCCACUUCAUCCCACACAGGAGUCUUGAUGGUGGCUGGGAGUCCAGGAGUCUGUCUAGGAAUCCAGGAAGGUUUCCUUGAGGAGGAGUCAUUGGAUCUGGGCCUUGAAGGAUAAACAGAAGUUCCUAGGCAGAGAAGGUCCAGGCGCUCAGAAAACCACAGACAAGACCCAGCCCCAGGCCUGCCCCAAAGCAUGUCACAUCUCAUAAAUGAUGCUCAAAUAAUAACAGUAACAGCUCCCACAUGCUGAGUGUGCACUGCUAGGGCACAGCACAUGAGAGGAAUUCAGUGCCUGAAUGAAUGAGCCAAUAAAUUAAACUUUCUCUUUAAAAAAGAAAAAAGAAAAAAAAUUUGUUUUAUUCUUUUAGCUCUACUCUCUAAGGAAGGAAAAAGCUUUCUGGAGUCAGUGAAUCCUGCCCCAGAUUGCUAGAGGAGAGAAAGGAGGCACAGUAGGGCCAAGGAGACGGAUGGCACAAAGGCCUGGGGGUGAGAAAACUGGGGUACAGGGGUCCUGUAUGGAGAGAGUUGGGGGCAGAGUCUUAAGCGGGGAGCUGAGAGAGACACAGGGACAGUCACCAAAAGAGAGACAGAGGCACAGCAGAAAGAGGU